rnacentral:rRNA from 1 species
GUCAGAGCGGACAGAAGGGAGCUUGCUCCCGGAUGUUAGCGGCGGACGGGUGAGUAACACGUGGGUAACCUGCCUGUAAGACUGGGAUAACUCCGGGAAACCGGAGCUAAUACCGGAUAGUUCCUUGAACCGCAUGGUUCAAGGAUGAAAGACGGUUUCGGCUGUCACUUACAGAUGGACCCGCGGCGCAUUAGCUAGUUGGUGGGGUAAUGGCUCACCAAGGCGACGAUGCGUAGCCGACCUGAGAGGGUGAUCGGCCACACUGGGACUGAGACACGGCCCAGACUCCUACGGGAGGCAGCAGUAGGGAAUCUUCCGCAAUGGACGAAAGUCUGACGGAGCAACGCCGCGUGAGUGAUGAAGGUUUUCGGAUCGUAAAGCUCUGUUGUUAGGGAAGAACAAGUGCGAGAGUAACUGCUCGCACCUUGACGGUACCUAACCAGAAAGCCACGGGUAACUACGUGCCAGCAGCCGCGGUAAUACGUAUGUGGCAAGCGUUGUCCGGAAUUAUUGGGCGUAAAGGGCUCGCAGGCGGUUUCUUAAGUCUGAU